CUGAUGUAAAGAAACUAACAUGGAUUCCCAUAGUAACUGCGAGUGAAGCGGGAAAAGCUCAAAUUUAAAAUCUGGCGGUCUUUGGCCGUCCGAGUUGUAGUCUGGAGAAGCGUCUUCCGCGCUGGACCGUGUAUAAGUCUCUUGGAACAGAGCGUCAUAGAGGGUGAGAAUCCCGUCUUUGACACGGACUACCAGUGCUUUGUGAUGCGCUCUCAAAGAGUCGAGUUGUUUGGGAAUGCAGCUCAAAAUGGGUGGUGAAUUCCAUCUAAAGCUAAAUAUUGGCGAGAGACCGAUAGCGAACAAGUACCGUGAGGGAAAGAUGAAAAGCACUUUGGAAAGAGAGUUAAACAGUACGUGAAAUUGCUGAAAGGGAAACGCUUGAAGUCAGUCGCGUUGUCCGGGACUCAGCCUUGCUUCGGCUUGGUGCACUUUCCGGAUGACGGGCCAGCAUCGAUUUUGACCGCCGGAAAAGGGCUGGAGGAAUGUGGCACCUUCGGGUGUGUUAUAGCCUCCAGUCGCAUACGGCGGUUGGGAUCGAGGAACGCAGCACGCCUUAUGGCGGGGGGUUUACCCUACCUUCGUGCUUAGGAUGCUGGCAUAAUGGCUUUAAACGACCCGUCUUGAAACACGGACCAAGGAGUCUAACAUGCCUGCGAGUGUUUGGGUGGAAAACCCGAGCGCGUAAUGAAAGUGAAAGUUGAGACCUCUGUCGUGGAGGGCAUCGACGCCCGGACCUGACGUUCUCUGACGGAUCCGCGGUAGAGCAUGUAUGUUGGGACCCGAAAGAUGGUGAACUAUGCCUGAAUAGGGUGAAGCCAGAGGAAACUCUGGUGGAGGCUCGUAGCGAUUCUGACGUGCAAAUCGAUCGUCAAAUU
rnacentral:rRNA from 2 species